rnacentral:rRNA from 1 species
GGCUCAGGAUGAACGCUGGCGGCGUGCCUAAUACAUGCAAGUCGAACGCACAGCGAAAGGUGCUUGCAUCUUUCAAGUGAGUGGCGAACGGGUGAGUAACACGUGGAUAACCUACCUCAAGGUUGGGGAUAACAUUUGGAAACAGAUGCUAAUACCGAAUAAAACUUCGUAUCGCAUGAUACAAGGUUAAAAGGCGCUACGGCGUCACCUAGAGAUGGAUCCGCGGUGCAUUAGUUAGUUGGUGGGUAAAGGCCUACCAAGACAAUGAUGCAUAGCCGAGUUGAGAGAUUGAUCGGCCACAUUGGGACUGAGACACGGCCCAAACUCCUACGGGAGGCUGCAGUAGGGAAUCUUCCACAAUGGGCGAAAGCCUGAUGGAGCAACGCCGCGUGUGUGAUGAAGGCUUUCGGGUCGUAAAGCACUGUUGUAUGGGAAGAACAGCUAGAGUAGGGAAUGACUUUAGUUUGACGGUACCAUACCAGAAAGGGACGGCUAAAUACGUG